rnacentral:pre_miRNA from 1 species
AUUGGAUAAUUCCAAAGGGAUUGCAUUGAUUCAUCUCAGAGAAGAAGAAAAAGCUGAUGAAUCAUGCAAUCCCUUCGGAAUCUUCCCA